GAUGAACGCUGGCGGCGCGCCUAAUACAUGCAAGUCGAGCGAACAGACGAGGAGCUUGCUCCUUUGACGUUAGCGGCGGACGGGGGAGUAACACGUGGGUAACCUACCUAUAAGACUGGGAUAACUUCGGGAAACCGGAGCUAAUACCGGAUAAUAUUUCGAACCGCAUGGUUCGAUAGUGAAAGAUGGCUUUGCUAUCACUUAUAGAUGGACCUGCGCCGUAUUAGCUAGUUGGUAAGGUAACGGCUUACCAAGGCAACGAUACGUAGCCGACCUGAGAGGGUGAUCGGCCACACUGGAACUGAGACACGGUCCAGACUCCUACGGGAGGCAGCAGUAGGGAAUCUUCCGCAAUGGGCGAAAGCCUGACGGAGCAACGCUGCGUGAGUGAUGAGGGUCUUCGGAUCGUAAAACUCUGUUAUUAGGGAAGAACAAACGUGUAAGUAACUGUGCACGUCUUGACGGUACCUAAUCAGAAAGCCACGGCUAACUACGUGCCAGCAGCCGCGGUAAUACGUAGGUGGCAAGCGUUAUCCGGAAUUAUUGGGCGUAAAGCGCGCGUAGGCGGUUUUUUAAGUCUGAUGUGAAAGCCCACGGCUCAACCGUGGAGGGUCAUUGGAAACUGGAAAACUUGAGUGCAGAAGAGGAAAGUGGAAUUCCAUGUGUAGCGGUGAAAUGCGCAGAGAUAUGGAGGAACACCAGUGGCGAAGGCGACUUUCUGGUCUGUAACUGACGCUGAUGUGCGAAAGCGUGGGGAUCAAACAGGAUUAGAUACCCUGGUAGUCCACGCCGUAAACGAUGAGUGCUAAGUGUUAGGGGGUUUCCGCCCCUUAGUGCUGCAGCUAACGCAUUAAGCACUCCGCCUGGGGAGUACGACCGCAAGGUUGAAACUCAAAGGAAUUGACGGGGACCCGCACAAGCGGUGGAGCAUGUGGUUUAAUUCGAAGCAACGCGAAGAACCUUACCAAAUCUUGACAUCCUUUGACCCUUCUAGAGAUAGAAGUUUCCCCUUCGGGGGACAAAGUGACAGGUGGUGCAUGGUUGUCGUCAGCUCGUGUCGUGAGAUGUUGGGUUAAGUCCCGCAACGAGCGCAACCCUUAAGCUUAGUUGCCAUCAUUAAGUUGGGCACUCUAAGUUGACUGCCGGUGACAAACCGGAGGAAGGUGGGGAUGACGUCAAAUCAUCAUGCCCCUUAUGAUUUGGGCUACACACGUGCUACAAUGGACAAUACAAAGGGCAGCGAAACCGCGAGGUCAAGCAAAUCCCAUAAAGUUGUUCUCAGUUCGGAUUGUAGUCUGCAACUCGACUACAUGAAGCUGGAAUCGCUAGUAAUCGUAGAUCAGCAUGCUACGGUGAAUACGUUCCCGGGUCU
rnacentral:rRNA from 1 species